GAGCUGACCUGUAAGGUGUGGGUGAAGGAGGUCUGACACUGAGGACACAAAAACAGGAGAACUGGUCCAGCCUCUUGCUCAUUGCUGCAAGGGGUCAACUCUCCAGGACAAUUCAGGAGAGCUCACCCUGGUGGUGAGGACAAGGGAGAGCUGGCAGGCUGACCAACCCUGCAACCACCCAGGCCCAGAACCAGAGUUGUGUUGGCCCGCCCCAACGUCUACCCCAUCUGUGAUGUGCUGGAACAUGUGAAGGGACCCAUGCUGCAGAUCCAAAGCUCUAGAAUUUUCACAAUACAGGGUAACAGCAAGAUAACCAAGAGGAACUCCAGUGAGGGCCCAGCAUUGAUAGUGUAGCAGAAACCAGAGGCUUCGAACUAGACGAACGACUCUCUGCAAUGAACACUUACAGGUUAUCCCAUGUACUACAGGCUCUCUGAAGCACAAGAUGCCCCUGCCUCAGCCUUCAGAGUGCUGGGGUUAUCAGCAUGUGGAUCUCUCUACAGUAGAGAAGACAGAGACAGGACACACAAUUCAACUCUGUUGUCCAUAACGGCCUGCGGACUUUCUCUAAUCUUUUAGUGACAUCAACUCAGCUCCAAAUGGAAUCCAUGCCUUUGACAUAGAAUGAAUUUCAGGACUAUCCAGUAUGAAGCAGAAUUGGGAUUUAACGAAAGUAUAUUAAUAUACACUUAAGCAUGAGGGCUAAAACAGAAGGAUGUUUCACUUUCUUUAUGACAGCAAUAUAUAGGAUUUUGGUUCCUCUUUUUUUGAAGAAUAGAACAAAAGGAACUUGGUUUUGUCAUGAAGAUGAAGACUCACAUGCUUCUGAAGGGAUGGGGCUAAAUGAUUUCACCAGGU